rnacentral:sRNA from 1 species
GUCUGGCAAACCACGGACAGACCAGGCACAUGGUAAGAGGAACAGCCCAGGACGGGGUACGGUGCCCUCACCCAUGAGCUCUCUGGGGUGUUGGGAAGAGGCCUGGCCAGCCCCACCAGGUGCCAUGUGGAAGCUUCCAGGAGGCCUGGCAAGACCAGAGGGGCUGCCGCAUGCGGGGGCCAACCAGCCCUCAGGGCUGCCCUGGGCCAGGCUGGGUGGUGGGGGGCCGACCAGCCUUCAGGGCUGCCCUGGGCCAGGCUGGGGGUCCGUGUAGCUCACUGGGGUGGUGGUGGGGGGUCCGCCAGCCUUCAGGGCUGCCCUUGGCCCAGGCUGGGGGGUCCGUGUAGCUCACUGGGGUGGUGGGGGGUUGGCCAGGCGCAGCACCUUGGCUCGUGGCCCCUCCCAGCGGGAGCCCUGCAGGUUGAGGUGGAGCUGGCCCUUGGCUGGCUGCCCAGGAAGCGCACCCCCUCUGCAGGGACCAAGCCGGAACCUCCUGCUCAACGGGAAGUCCUACCCCACCAAAGUGCGCCUGAUCCGGGGGGGCUCCCUGCCCCCAGUCAAGCGGCGGCGGAUGAACUGGAUCGACGCCCCUGAUGACGUGUUCUACAUGGCUACAGAGGAGACCAGGUAGGGCCUUCCCAGGGCAGGCGGGAGGGCUCCGCACAGCGUCCCGGCCCUCACCACCACCUCUGCCCACAGGAAGAUCCGCAAGCUGCUUUCAUCCUCGGAAACCAAGCGUGCUGCCCGCCGGCCCUACAAGCCCAUCGCCCUGCGUCAGAGCCAGGCCCUGCCGCUGCGGCCACCGCCACCUGCGCCUGUCAACGACGAGCCCAUCGUCAUCGAGGACUAGGGGCCGCCCCCACCUGCGGCCGC